ensembl:lncRNA LINC02190 long intergenic non-protein coding RNA 2190
AAGCACCCACAUUCUAGAAACAGUCUCUCCCCAGCUCACUUGGCUGAAGAUACUAAAGAGAACUAGAUGUUAUCUAGUGUUAUCCUGCUGAUCCCAAUUUCCUAUAGUUCUGGCACCAGAAAAUCCUGAAUGAUAGGUUUUUCUGAAGCUGCUGACAUCGGGUCAGCCCUCAACACCAUCACCUUUGGCCAUGUUCAGGAAGUACUCAAAGGUAACACUGGCAGCCAAGAGCAGGCCAAUCAAUGUCUGGCCACCACCCUAAUCCCACCUGGACAGUCACACCCCACCUCCCUAUGUGUGUUCGCACAGUGGGGGUGAUAUCAUGUGGGUCUGGCCUGUCCUGAGCAGAACCUGGUGUUGGGUUGUCAGAAACCCAGUGACCCAUCACGUUCACUCUUCAGAUCAUGGCUCAAAAGUCUGCAGAGCAGAGACAAGAGAUUGACAAAGAGGUGUUGAUGAGUGAGAUGUUACUGUUCUGCUCUGGAGAAGAUACUGUCAGAUAAUGUCCCGCAUUUCCAUCAGCUGGCAUGCAUGCCUUUGGACUCGGACAGGGUUCUUUGGAUUGUAGCUGAAUUUUCAAUGUUUAGUCAAUAUGGAUCUGAUCUCCGCAUGAUCUUUUUUGUGAAUGCCAACACCAUUUUGUAACUUUUUUCCAUUCUAAACAUUUUUCUUUUCACUGCCAACCCUCUGCCUUGUGAUUUUAUUGGAAAUCAAGGACCUGCUAUUAUUUGUUAAUUUGCCAUCAUUUAUGUGUAUAUUGAAAGGUACGAAACCCACAAGCACAAUGAUCAUUUUUAUUUGUUUGAAACUUCAGCAGAAUAGAUAUCUGCAUGCUUUAUGAAGUUGCUUCGAUAGCAGCCCCUGGGAUGCCAGAAAUUAGCAUUUCUUUGCUGCCAUGGGCUGAUGAUACUGCUGCUAUUAGAGAAAGUUUAGCUGUGGCACCAACUCACAGCAUUUUCAUAGAAAAAGAUUACUUGUAGCUUAUUUUAGAAGUAGGAACAUUUGGUCUAUUCGACUAGACUUGCAAUUUUAAAAAAAAAAGGUUGCAUUCAUUAAAGAAAAAAUGAAUUUAAGGUAAAAUGACAAAACCUGAUCUUUAACAUCCUGAAGGAUCUGAUACAUUAUUUUCCCUCCAACUCCAUCCCAGGCCUGGUGGUAGAACUGCUAUUUUUCCUUCUUACCUUUUAGAAAAGUAUGCAUCUAGAUUUUAUUCAAAAAUAGAAGAAACAACAGUAGAAUCAUAUAAAUAGCAAAAAUUUGAAACUCAAAAUAUUAAGCGUAAGUUACAAAAAAACAUAUAAACAACAGAAUAUGUGGGAUAAAUACCAAUUUUGAUACAAUUAGUCUGGAUUAAAAGGCUGAAAGUUCAGGUGAAGGAGCAGAGAAUGCUCCUUCAAAACCAAAAGAGAGAAAAUCUUCGUAUAAGAAGCAUGAACAUAGGAUCUACACAUCAGAAAAUUUAUAGAAGGACAGAAUUAUUUUUAAAUAAUCAAAAACUAGUCUCAUUAAAAUAAAGUAUAAUCAUCAAGGACAAAAAGAAAA